AAUUUAAAGUAAGCUAAAUUUAAGCUAGUGGGUUCAUACCCCAAAAAUGAAAUAUUCCUUUAUUA
rnacentral:tRNA from 1 species